rnacentral:misc_RNA from 1 species
GAUGAAGAACGCAGCGAAAUGCGAUAAGUAAUGUGAAUUGCAGAAUUCAGUGAAUCAUCGAAUCUUUGAACGCACAUUGCGCCCGCCAGUAUUCUGGCGGGCAUGCCUGUUCGAGCGUCAUUUCAACCAUCAAGCCCCCGGCUUGUGUUGGGGACCUGCGGCUGCCGCAGGCCCUUAAAAGCAGUGGCGGGCUCGCUGUCACACCGAGCGUAGUAGCAUACAUCUCGCUCUGGGCGUGCUGCGGGUUCCGGCCGUUAAACCACCUUCAUAACCCAAGGUUGACCUCGGAUCAGGUAGGAAGACCCGCUGAACUUAAGCAUAUCAAUAAGCGGAGA